rnacentral:lncRNA from 1 species
AGAUUGUAAGAAUGUGACUGUGGCAUUGAACUCAACUGUAGGUACUCCGUCACGAUGUUUUACUACAGGGAGUCAAGUUUUAGAGUCUUUAAGUUUUGAUGAGGUUUGUAAUCCUUUCUUGUGACAGUGAAACAAUUGAAAAUUUAAAAUUAUUGUCAAGGUGUAACAGAAAACAUGAAUAAACCUGGAAAUUGUUGACCUGAGUUUAUC